rnacentral:rRNA from 1 species
CCGCCUGGGGAGUACGGCCGCAAGGUUAAAACUCAAAUGAAUUGACGGGGGCCCGCACAAGCGGUGGAGCAUGUGGUUUAAUUCGAUGCAACGCGAAGAACCUUACCUACUCUUGACAUCCACGGAAUUUAGCAGAGAUGCUUUAGUGCCUUCGGGAACCGUGAGACAGGUGCUGCAUGGCUGUCGUCAGCUCGUGUUGUGAAAUGUUGGGUUAAGUCCCGCAACGAGCGCAACCCUUAUCCUUUGUUGCCAGCGAUUCGGUCGGGAACUCA